UGUGAUUGGUUACGUAGGACAUACGUUCUGUUGUGGCGCGCGCCAAACCCCGCAGUAGGAAACAAGCUUGAGGUUCCACAGGUCUUCAACUUUCAUCUUAAAAUACACAAUUUUGAAACAUGGCAUCUACCAGUCAAGCUCCUCAACCGGCAAGAAAUUUGCCCUGGGUUGAAAAAUACAGGCCACAGAAACUUGAUGAUCUGAUCUCACACAAAGAUAUUCUAAGCACCAUUCAGAGGUUCAUCAGUGAAGACAGGCUCCCUCAUCUUUUGUUCUAUGGCCCCCCUGGAACAGGCAAAACCUCCACCAUUCUCGCCUGUGCAAAGCAGCUGUACAAAGACAAAGAGUUUACCUCUAUGGUGUUGGAGCUAAAUGCAUCAGAUGACAGAGGUAUUGAUGUUGUACGUGGCCCCAUUCUGAGUUUUGCCAGCACCAGGACCAUAUUCAAGAAGGGGUUCAAGUUAGUGAUACUGGAUGAGGCAGAUGCAAUGACCCAGGAUGCCCAGAAUGCAUUGCGAAGAGUCAUUGAGAAAUUCACAGAAAACACAAGAUUCUGUCUGAUUUGUAAUUACUUGUCAAAAAUCAUCCCGGCUCUGCAGUCACGCUGCACCCGGUUUCGCUUCGGCCCACUUUCCCCGGACCAGAUGAUUCCUCGACUGGAGCACAUUAUCCAACAAGAGAGUAUUGACAUAAGCCCAGAUGGAAUGAAGGCUAUUGUGACCUUAUCAGCUGGUGAUAUGAGAAGAUCCCUCAACAUCCUGCAGAGCACUAGUAUGGCAUACGGGAAGGUCACUGAAGACACAGUAUACACGUGCACAGGUCACCCCCUCCGCUCGGAUAUCGCCAAUAUCCUUGACUGGUCCCUCAACAAAGACUUCACUGCGGCAUAUAAGCAGAUCCUUCACCUCAAGACUUUGAAAGGUUUGGCCCUGCAUGACAUCCUGACAGAGAUUCAUCUGCUCAUACACAGAGUGGACUUUCCUCCUGCUAUUCGGAUGGGUCUACUCAUAAAGUUGGCUGACGUAGAACACAGACUUGCUUCAGGAACCAAUGAGAAGAUCCAGCUGAGUUCGAUGGUUGCAGCUUUCCAGUCCGUGAGAGAUCUUGUGGUCAGUGAGGCGUUCUAGACAACAUUUACACCCCACAAUGAUGUUCUCUCUGCAGUGCAAACCACAGCGUGGUGGAGAGAAUGCUUUACUGAUUCACUGCUCUUUGGGUUCCAGGAAUCAAAGUAUUUCAACAGCUUCCGUUCACUAUGCAGAAAACUAAAGUUAAAUUCUUCAAUUCAUCCAAAUCUGACUGUCUAUGGUUUUAGUCAAAAUCCUUUGAAUCCAUCUCGGUACAAAAUUCUGAAGUUGACUUGUGUAAAAUAAACGGAUCUAUCUUAUUAGCGUUAGUGCCACAAACAAUUUUUGCAUGAGUACCCCUCCCUCACCCCCAUUCAAACAUGUACUCAAAUUAGAACAAUAGUUAUUCAGAGGUCACAUCAGACCAACAGUGGUGUCACUUCUCUUCAUAUCCCUAAUUCGUGCCUCUGUCCUUUACCGAUUGAAGUAAAUGUUUGAAAGAAGCUACCAUGUGAAACGACAGCAUGAUGGUAAAAUUAGUGUCAGAGUAAUAAUAAUAAUACUUGUACAUGUCCAUGUAUUUGAAUCUGUUUAAUAAAACAUUUUGCAUAAAGAG